GCACUCGAGUGAGAACAUUCUCAUCGUAUUUCAUCUUUUAAAAGGCCUUAGCCGACAGCAUACACAUCAGAGAUCGAGUAAAAACAACCAGAAAAGACUUAACAAGCAAGCUAGCCAAGCUUUGGAGGAUAAAGGUCCCAUCAGAAGAAAAUUUAGGUAUACCCUAUCAGUAAUGUUUGAAAACAAAAUGAGAAAACCUAAUAACAUGGUGGUUGUGAAUCCUAAACAUGUGCCAGAAGAUCAUUUGUCGACUGAAAUAAUCCUCUGUUUGAGAUCUCCGAACUGCAAACAUGUCUUCUUUGCUUCCUGCAUAUAGUAAAUUAAUUUCAAUGAAGGCACAUUAUUUACGGUUGAUGCUUGUUUUUAGGAGAUAGAGAAUUAAGAUGCAUCUUGAAAAGGACAUAACUUGCAGUGAACCAAACUGAGUUACCAUGCAGUGACAAAAAAUCACACAAAAUUCAGAAUUAAAUUGGAAGAUAUCAUGUCAGCAAGGAAUCGUAAUCAGCAAACAACCUGACGAAUGCUGCCAGGACUAUAUGGUUCUUGAGAAGGUGACAUUGCACACGAAGACUAACCAAAUUCAGAAAUUAAUUGCAAGAUUUUAUAUCAAGAAGGAAUCAUAAUUAGCAAACAUUUGUUAGGAGAAAUAACUAAAGCUAACGAAUCCAUCUAUGUAUAGCAUGGCAAUUUGCCCGUUAGAACGUGGUAGAAUCAGCACAUGAUGGAACAAUUAUUAAACUAAGAACAAUGCCUGGUACAAAUCACAUGGAUUUAAUUAACGCCUCCAUGCGCUUGAGCUGCGGCAAAAAGGGCAUGUCCUAGCACAGGGCAGGCGGCAGAUAAUCUUAUCUUACCCUGAACCUAGAUGGCUGAGAAGGUCUAUGCAUCUUACCUUAAGCACCACCAAGGUAAAUGUUUGCUCGCCGCGCGGCAGGUUGGAUGACCGCGGAUGGACGAGCGAGGGAACCGCCUCCGGGCCUCUCGUCACCGGAUCAUACCACGAACCGGCAGAACAAGGGAAGCGGCGACGAGGACGAAGAAAUGGUCAGUCCGCCGCUGCCAGGGAGGCUGCCCGCGGACGGGCACCUGCCGGCCCCACUCGGCCCCGGACCGCACCCGACGGAUCAGCAGAGAGACGAGGCGGCGGGGAGUAGCCUGUACUGCCCCUACCACUCCAUCAGCCACGAGAUCACAUCUGACGGUGAGG
rnacentral:lncRNA from 1 species